UGAAAUAGAUUGGUGGAAUAAAGUAAAUAUUUAUUUUAAAUGGAUUUUUUAAGUAAAAAAUUAAAGGUAAAAUUUUUAUUUUUUUAAAUGAAAAAUUAUGGAAAAAUAAAUUAUCUUUGAAAAUAAGGAUUUAAACUAGGAUUAGAUACCCUAUUAUUCUUUAUUAUAAUAAUUGCCGGGGUAGUAAAAAUUUUUAAACCUAAAGAAUUUGGCGGUACUUUAUUCUUACUAGAGGAACCUGCUCUUGGAUCGAUAAUCCACGUUUAAAUGUACAUGUUUUGGUUUUCAGUUUGUAUACCGCCGUUGUCAGAUUAUUUUUAAAAAAUAUAAUCUAAUUAGUAGCUAAUUGGGACUUCAGGUCAAGGUGCAGCUUAUAAGCAUGGGAGUAGUGGGUUACAAUAAAUUAAAAAUAUACGGAUUAAUUAAUGUAAUAUUGAUUAUGAAGGUGGAUUUAGUAGUAAAUUGAGAAUAAAAUUCUUUUUUGAAAUGAGCUCUGAAGUGUGUACACAUCGCCCGUCGCUCUCUCCCCUAAGGAGA
rnacentral:rRNA from 1 species